GGUUAAGCGACUAAGCGUACACGGUGGAUGCCCUGGCAGUCAGAGGCGAUGAAGGACGUGCUAAUCUGCGAUAAGCGUCGGUAAGGUGAUAUGAACCGUUAUAACCGGCGAUUUCCGAAUGGGGAAACCCAGUGUGAUUCGUCACACUAUCAUUAACUGAAUCCAUAGGUUAAUGAGGCGAACCGGGGGAACUGAAACAUCUAAGUACCCCGAGGAAAAGAAAUCAACCGAGAUUCCCCCAGUAGCGGCGAGCGAACGGGGAGCAGCCCAGAGCCUGAAUCAGUGUGUGUGUUAGUGGAAGCGUCUGGAAAGGCGCGCGAUACAGGGUGACAGCCCCGUACACAAAAAUGCACAUACUGUGAGCUCGAUGAGUAGGGCGGGACACGUGGUAUCCUGUCUGAAUAUGGGGGGACCAUCCUCCAAGGCUAAAUACUCCUGACUGACCGAUAGUGAACCAGUACCGUGAGGGAAAGGCGAAAAGAACCCCGGCGAGGGGAGUGAAAAAGAACCUGAAACCGUGUACGUACAAGCAGUGGGAGCCUCUUUAUGGGGUGACUGCGUACCUUUUGUAUAAUGGGUCAGCGACUUAUAUUCUGUAGCAAGGUUAACCGAAUAGGGGAGCCGAAGGGAAACCGAGUCUUAACUGGGCGUUAAGUUGCAGGGUAUAGACCCGAAACCCGGUGAUCUAGCCAUGGGCAGGUUGAAGGUUGGGUAACACUAACUGGAGGACCGAACCGACUAAUGUUGAAAAAUUAGCGGAUGACUUGUGGCUGGGGGUGAAAGGCCAAUCAAACCGGGAGAUAGCUGGUUCUCCCCGAAAGCUAUUUAGGUAGCGCCUCGUGAAUUCAUCUCCGGGGGUAGAGCACUGUUUCGGCAAGGGGGUCAUCCCGACUUACCAACCCGAUGCAAACUGCGAAUACCGGAGAAUGUUAUCACGGGAGACACACGGCGGGUGCUAACGUCCGUCGUGAAGAGGGAAACAACCCAGACCGCCAGCUAAGGUCCCAAAGUCAUGGUUAAGUGGGAAACGAUGUGGGAAGGCCCAGACAGCCAGGAUGUUGGCUUAGAAGCAGCCAUCAUUUAAAGAAAGCGUAAUAGCUCACUGGUCGAGUCGGCCUGCGCGGAAGAUGUAACGGGGCUAAACCAUGCACCGAAGCUGCGGCAGCGACACUAUGUGUUGUUGGGUAGGGGAGCGUUCUGUAAGCCUGUGAAGGUGUGCUGUGAGGUAUGCUGGAGGUAUCAGAAGUGCGAAUGCUGACAUAAGUAACGAUAAAGCGGGUGAAAAGCCCGCUCGCCGGAAGACCAAGGGUUCCUGUCCAACGUUAAUCGGGGCAGGGUGAGUCGACCCCUAAGGCGAGGCCGAAAGGCGUAGUCGAUGGGAAACAGGUUAAUAUUCCUGUACUUGGUGUUACUGCGAAGGGGGGACGGAGAAGGCUAUGUUGGCCGGGCGACGGUUGUCCCGGUUUAAGCGUGUAGGCUGGUUUUCCAGGCAAAUCCGGAAAAUCAAGGCUGAGGCGUGAUGACGAGGCACUACGGUGCUGAAGCAACAAAUGCCCUGCUUCCAGGAAAAGCCUCUAAGCAUCAGGUAACAUCAAAUCGUACCCCAAACCGACACAGGUGGUCAGGUAGAGAAUACCAAGGCGCUUGAGAGAACUCGGGUGAAGGAACUAGGCAAAAUGGUGCCGUAACUUCGGGAGAAGGCACGCUGAUAUGUAGGUGAAGUCCCUUGCGGAUGGAGCUGAAAUCAGUCGAAGAUACCAGCUGGCUGCAACUGUUUAUUAAAAACACAGCACUGUGCAAACACGAAAGUGGACGUAUACGGUGUGACGCCUGCCCGGUGCCGGAAGGUUAAUUGAUGGGGUUAGCGGUAACGCGAAGCUCUUGAUCGAAGCCCCGGUAAACGGCGGCCGUAACUAUAACGGUCCUAAGGUAGCGAAAUUCCUUGUCGGGUAAGUUCCGACCUGCACGAAUGGCGUAAUGAUGGCCAGGCUGUCUCCACCCGAGACUCAGUGAAAUUGAACUCGCUGUGAAGAUGCAGUGUACCCGCGGCAAGACGGAAAGACCCCGUGAACCUUUACUAUAGCUUGACACUGAACAUUGAGCCUUGAUGUGUAGGAUAGGUGGGAGGCUUUGAAGUGUGGACGCCAGUCUGCAUGGAGCCGACCUUGAAAUACCACCCUUUAAUGUUUGAUGUUCUAACGUUGGCCCCUGAUCGGGGUUGCGGACAGUGUCUGGUGGGUAGUUUGACUGGGGCGGUCUCCUCCUAAAGAGUAACGGAGGAGCACGAAGGUUGGCUAAUCCUGGUCGGACAUCAGGAGGUUAGUGCAAUGGCAUAAGCCAGCUUGACUGCGAGCGUGACGGCGCGAGCAGGUGCGAAAGCAGGUCAUAGUGAUCCGGUGGUUCUGAAUGGAAGGGCCAUCGCUCAACGGAUAAAAGGUACUCCGGGGAUAACAGGCUGAUACCGCCCAAGAGUUCAUAUCGACGGCGGUGUUUGGCACCUCGAUGUCGGCUCAUCACAUCCUGGGGCUGAAGUAGGUCCCAAGGGUAUGGCUGUUCGCCAUUUAAAGUGGUACGCGAGCUGGGUUUAGAACGUCGUGAGACAGUUCGGUCCCUAUCUGCCGUGGGCGCUGGAGAACUGAGGGGGGCUGCUCCUAGUACGAGAGGACCGGAGUGGACGCAUCACUGGUGUUCGGGUUGUCAUGCCAAUGGCACUGCCCGGUAGCUAAAUGCGGAAGAGAUAAGUGCUGAAAGCAUCUAAGCACGAAACUUGCCCCGAGAUGAGUUCUCCCUGACUCCUUGAGAGUCCUGAAGGAACGUUGAAGACGACGACGUUGAUAGGCCGGGUGUGUAAGCGCAGCGAUGCGUUGAGCUAACCGGUACUAAUGAACCGUGAGGCUUAACCUUAC
rnacentral:rRNA from 1 species